rnacentral:rRNA from 1 species
GACGAACGCUGGCGGCGCGCUUAACACAUGCAAGUCGAACGGAAAGGCCUGCUUUCCCUUGUGGAUUGCGGGUACUCGAGUGGCGAACGGGUGAGUAACACGUGAGUGAUCUGCCCCCAACUUGGGUAUAAGCCUGGGAAACUGGGUCUAAUUCCCGAUAGGACUGCAGGGUGGUGCCUGUGGUGGAAAACGAUUUUCUAGUGGUUGGGGAUGAGCUCGCGGCCUAUCAGCUUGUUGGUGGGGUAAUGGCCUACCAAGGCGGCGACGGGGAGCCGGCCUGGGAGGGUGGACGGCCACAUUGGGACUGAGAUACGGCCCAGACUCCUACGGGAGGCAGCAGUGGGGAAUAUUGCACAAUGGGCGGAAGCCUGAUGCAGCGACGCCGCGUGGGGGAUGACGGCCUUCGGGUUGUAAACUCCUUUCGACCGCGAGGAAGCCACCUGGUUGGAAGGGUGGUGACGGUAGUGGUAGAAGAAGCACCGGCUAACUACGUG